UACAGAGGUCUCAAGCGUUGUUCGGAUUCAUUGGGCGUAAAGGGUGCGUAGGUGGCGAUGUAAGUCUGGUGUGAAAUCUCAGGGCUCAACCUUGAAAUUGCAUUGGAUACUGCGUUGCUAGAGGAUUGUAGAGGAGAGUGGAAUUCACGGUGUAGCAGUGAAAUGCGUAGAUAUCGUGAGGAAGACCAGUUGCGAAGGCGACUCUCUGGGCAAUUCCUGACACUGAGGCACGAAGGCUAGGGGAGCAAACGGG
rnacentral:rRNA from 1 species